rnacentral:tRNA from 1 species
GCCGACGUAGCUCAGUUGGCAGAGCAGCCGCCUCGUAAGUGGCAGGUCGUGGGUUCGAAUCCCACCGUCGGCUCCA